AGAGUUUGAUCAUGGCUCAGGAUGAACGCUAGCUACAGGCUUAACACAUGCAAGUCGAGGGGAAACGACAUCGAAAGCUUGCUUUUGAUGGGCGUCGACCGGCGCACGGGUGAGUAACGCGUAUCCAACCUGCCCACCACUUGGGGAUAACCUUGCGAAAGUAAGACUAAUACCCAAUGAUAUCUCUAGAAGACAUCUGAAAGAGAUUAAAGAUUUAUCGGUGAUGGAUGGGGAGUGCGUCUGAUUAGCUUGUUGGCGGGGUAACGGGCCCGACCCAAGGCAACGAUCAGUAGGGGUUCGUGAGAGGAAGGUCUCCCCACAUUGGAACUGAGACACGGUCCAAACUCCUACGGGAGGCAGCA
rnacentral:rRNA from 1 species